rnacentral:tRNA from 1 species
UGCGGGGUGGUGUAAUGGUAACACGCCAGGCUUUGGACCUGGAGAUUGGAGGUUCGAGCCCUCCCCCCGCAA